UUGUAUUAUGGAUUCAUUGUCAUUAUCCACACUCGGUUUUAAUUUUGAAUAGCACCUUGCAACUUCUGAAACAUCUUCAGAACUAUGAGAUCUUGCACAGAACUCUAUAAAACGGUUUUGAAAACAAAUUUGACAAAUAAGGAAGUCAAUUAUGAUGGAUUUUCAGAGGUGGUAGAUCUUCAGUGGGGUAGGAAUAAUAUGAAAGAAAGAUAAUAAGCUAAAAUCAAUAGCAUCUAUAGAGUAUCUAAAAAUCAUAGAUGACAACAAUCUCAGGACAAUCAGGUGAUGUGAAGGAGACAUGUCCAGACUUGGCUGAGUUGGGUGCAGACUCAUGAAUGCACUGGUGAAAUGGGGUGGGAAAGGCUGGUCUUCACCUUGGUGCAUCUAGGUAGUAACGGAAAAGGCACUCUCUGCUCAACACAGGGCAAAUAGCCAGCAGUUCAAACAAUUUAGGAGUAGUUAAUAUUUGUAGCUGUUCUGGCGGAGGUGCCAGAGUUAAAUGAGUACCUUCCAAACAGGGAAUUGAUUAGAAGUAGGUUAUACAAGCUCCAUUUUAGGAAAGAAAGCACGUAUGUCUCACAUGCCUUGGAGUUGUUCAUUCGGAUCACUUCGUAAAAUCAAAGUAUUUUAUUUAAAUGACUUUCAGAAAAUGUGCACACCACAUAUUUAUUAGCAUUUCAUGGAUAUCUAGAACACUCGCAGAUGCUGUCUUCCUUGACUCAUCAAUCCUGUGAGGCAGGCUGUUGGUUUAUGCACCCUCCAGAUGAACAGUGCAGCCUUCAGAGACUGGCUGAGUCGCCCCAGAUCAUUCAGCUUCCCCCUGGGUUCUAAACCGCAGUCACGUCCUCUUUCUACUGGACUAUUUCAGGAAAACAUGAAGGGCACUUUCUUGGCUCACUGCCUCUGUAGCAGCCUUCUUGGCAAAAGAAGUUUCAGUGAAGGGUUCCUGCCUGGUAUAAAGAGUUAAACAUUUAGACCAGAGCCUUUCUUUGUAAGAUACUGACGGGAUGAUCGCAGUGCUGAGAGGGAAUCCAGGACUUUGCACAUAGUAGAUAACCACCAUACUCUGGCAUGGAACAAAAGAGGUCCCCGCGUGCUUCACACAGAGCGCUACAGAGAUGAGCAUUGACGGGAAAAGGGCUGAAGAGACAGGAAGUCGAACGGCAGUGACUUGGCUCUUAUGGAAACCUCACCCCACGAGCUGAACAACCACAGAUAUGCAGAUUCAGGACGACUGAGAGGAAAACAGGUGCGCUUCAUUCUGGAAACUACAGCCCGCAAUCCACUACUGAAUUCUGUGGUCAGGAUGAAGAGGCUCCUUAUCCCGGACCUGCAGAGAAGAUGCUGCUGAAAUGGAGCAUCGCAAAGGGCAGAGAUUGGAGUGUCUUGCACAUAGCAAACACUCAGUAAAUAUGGCCAUUAAGUGUUUACUAUAUUACCAGUAUUUUAAACAUACUUCUCUUGAGUUUUCAGGUAAAAUGUUUAUGAACAUCCUGAGGCACCAGUGUCCCUCCACGUGGCUUUCAAAAUAAUCACAUCAUAGGCCAUUUCCAGUCAGCCUCUCGAUUAGUGAAAUCCCGGGAAUGAAAAUAGAAAUAAAACCGGGAAAUCAUUGUGAAGUCCCAAACUCAUUUAAAACCCGAUUCCUCAAGAUUUAGAAGUUCAUGUUGUCACUGUUGUAUUCCCAACAUUUUCCACAGAAGCUGAACAUCUCAGGUCUGAGAAAGGCAGGAGAAAAUACAGAGCAAAAUCUGCAGGAAAUAAAGGAACGUGAGCCUCCCUUUGGAAAGUGCUACUCCACUGCUCAGUGAACUGUGUGAAGAUGGUGGGUCCUAAGUAUGGAGAAGGACACACAGAAAUACUGCUGUUUAAGCAAGGUAGAUGCUUUCCCAUUUUGCCUGAUUUCCUGACAUAUCACUCCAAAUUCCAUUGACUGGUAACCAGAUCAGUCUACUUACUAAGCACAGAUAUGAUUAAUGAAGGCUUUAGACCCAUUAUUCAAUUUGUUUGUUCCAUGGCAUAUUUUGGUUUCAGAAACUGAAAUCCAAAAAUAACCUACUA